rnacentral:rRNA from 1 species
UACAGAGGGUGCGAGCGUUAAUCGGAAUUACUGGGCGUAAAGCGUGCGUAGACGGUAGCGUAAGUCAGAUGUGAAAGCCCCGGGCUCAACCUGGGAAUUGCAUUUGAGACUGCUCUGCUCGGGUGCGGAAGAGGGAAGCGGAAUUUCCGGUGUAGCGGUGAAAUGCAUUGAGAUCGGAAAGAACACCAACGGCGAAAGCACUCUGCUGGGCCGACACUGACACUGAGAGACGAAAGCUAGGGGAGCAAAUGGG